UUUUUGAAAAUAAUUUAAAGUCUAAUCUGCCCACUGAUNAAAUUAUUAAAGGGCUGCAGUAUUUUGACUGUGCAAAGGUAGCAUAAUCAUUAGUCUCUUAAUUGGUGACUUGUAUGAAAGAUUGGAUGAAAUAUAUACUGUCUCUAUUUAAUUUAUAAAAUUUAAUUUUUUAGUAAAAAAGCUAAAAUGAGUUUAAAAGACGAGAAGACCCUAUAGAGUUUAAUAAUUUAUUUAAUUAUUAUUAAUAUAUAAAUUUUAAAAUUAAAAUUAAAUAAAUUAUUUUGUUGGGGUGAUAGAAAAAUUAAAUUAACUUUUUUUUUAUUUCAUACAUUAAUUUAUGAAUAAAUGAUCCAUUAAUAAUGAUUAAAAGAAAAAAUUACCUUAGGGAUAACAGCGUAAUUUUUUUUUUUAGUUCAAAUAGGAAAAAAAGUUUGCGACCUCGA
rnacentral:rRNA from 1 species